GGUACCAACGGUCGGUCAUUCAUAGAUGCAUAGCAGUCGAACAUCUUAUAGCCCGAUAGACAAAGAGGCAAUCACGGCGUAGCAGUCGAACAUCUUAUAGCCCGAUAGACAAAGAGGCAAUCACGAUCUACAUAACGCAUUGAUUGCUCGUGUUACCCAAUGACAAUAUAUCUAGAUAAAUAUGAUAGUUACAAGUAGUAUUAGCCAUGAACAGUCGUUCAUGCAUGAGAGCAUUAAUUUCAUUAAUACUAGGCAUUAUGACACUCCUCAUAUAGCACUCUAUAUAAGCUGGGAGGAGGCCACCGGGCUGAAGUCUAGAGCCUCAGUUUUGAUUAAUACGCAAGAGUAAGAACACCACCACAGGAGUAGGAUAUUUCCUCAUUCAACCAGGAUCCGAACAUGUAUAAUCCCUAAUGUGUUUUCCCAUCUGGAUGUUUUGGUUGAUACGACCGACCCUACUUACAUUCCCCCGUAGUAUUAUCAGGACUACAUCAAUAACACCAUCCCUCGAAAUGCUUUUCUAUAAUUACACCUCGGUGUUAAACAAUUACACACAACCAGCAAGAUAGUCUGCGCUACUGAGUACCUAGUACUUUGAACUCCUCAAAUAAUAGGAUUUUAUCUAUUUAAUACCAUAGGUUUGACCGGAUCAUAUCUAAUAAUGGUGCACAGUUUAGAGUAUCUCCCUAAUUUAUAUUGGCAUAGAUAUAGAGAUAUAUGAUAACAUUAAAUGGAUAUCAUCUUGAAGAUAGAACUAACUUGCGAUCUUAUUUGAGUGAACAUGGAGUAAAUGUUCUCUAGCUACAGGGCUAUAAAUAUCACUAGCAUUAUAUGCUUCUCCCCAAAAAGAAACGAGAAGAAGAAAUUUGUUAUUGAUAGUAUGGAGCAGAAACCUAUUCUUCUUUGCCUUAUGGUGCUUCUGCUGCUGGGAAAUUGUACUCAUGCUGAGAAUUGCAAAACUGAAACAGCUUUUGGAACCACCCUAUGCGCAUUUGUUACUUGCCUAAGCACCUGCAUAUCUGUGUGGGGGAAUCUUGUGAAACAAGCAGAUUGUAAGCCUGUCAGACCUUACUAUACAAUUUGUACUUGUCUCGUAUGUGUCUAGAAUUACACUUUGCCAUCAUGUCGAACAAUGGGCAAUGGUGUGAUCCAGUAAUAAAAUCUUCUUGUCAAAUGGA